GAUGAACGCUAGCGGCAGGCUUAAUACAUGCAAGUCGAGGGGCAGCAGUCCCGCAGCAAUGCGGGAGCUGGCGACCGGCAAACGGGUGCGGAACACGUACAGAACCUUCCUUCGAGCGGGGAAUAGCCCAGAGAAAUUUGGAUUAAUACCCCAUAGCAUUACGAAGUGGCAUCACUUUGUAAUUAAAGAUUUAUCACUCGAAGAUGGCUGUGCGGCUGAUAGGUAGUUGGCGGAGUAACGGCCCACCAAGCCUUCGAUCAGUAACUGGUGUGAGAGCACGACCAGUCACACGGGCACUGAGACACGGUCCAGACUCCUACGGGAGGCAGCAGUGGGGAAUCUUGCGCAAUGGGCGAAAGCCUGACGCAGCGACGCCGCGUGAGGGAUGACGGCCUUCGGUU
rnacentral:rRNA from 1 species